UCGCGAAAACUCCACAAUGUGGGAAACCACGAUGGGGGAACUCCCAGUGCGUACACUUUGUGUGCGCUGUUCUCGCGCCUAAAAAGCACGAGAAGUAAGGGCCGGGUAAGACGGGUGCCAGCCGCCGCGGUAAUACCCGCGGCCCGAGUGGUGCUCAUUAUUAUUGAGUCUAAAACGUCCGUAGCCGGUCGAGUAGAUUCCUGGGUAAAUCGAAUCGCUCAACGAUUCGCACUCCGGGGAGACCGCCCGACUAGGGACCGGGAGAGGCGCGAGGUACUCCUGGGGUAGGGGUAAAAUCCUGUAAUCCUGGGAGGACCACCAGUGGCGAAGGCGUCGCGCUAGAACGGAUCCGACGGUCAGGGACGAAGCCCAGGGGCGCAAACGGG
rnacentral:rRNA from 1 species